rnacentral:rRNA from 1 species
GGAUGGGGGGGGCACCUGAUCCAGCAUGCCGCGUGAGUGAAGAAGGCCUUCGGGUUGUAAAGCUCUUUUGUCAGGGAAGAAACGGUUCUGGCUAAUAUCCAGAGCUAAUGACGGUACCUGAAGAAUAAGCACCGGCUAACUACGUGCCAGCAGCCGCGGUAAUACGUAGGGUGCAAGCGUUAAUCGGAAUUACUGGGCGUAAAGCGUGCGCAGGCGGUUGUGUAAGACAGAUGUGAAAUCCCCGGGCUCAACCUGGGAAUUGCAUUUGUGACUGCACGGCUAGAGUGUGUCAGAGGGGGGUAGAAUUCCACGUGUAGCAGUGAAAUGCGUAGAUAUGUGGAGGAAUACCGAUGGCGAAGGCAGCCCCCUGGGAUAACACUGACGCUCAUGCACGAAAGCGUGGGGAGCAAACAGGAUUAGAUACCCUGGUAGUCCACGCCCUAAACGAUGUCUACUAGUUGUCGGGUCUUAAUUGACUUGGUAACGCAGCUAACGCGUGAAGUAGACCGCCUGGGGAGUACGGUCGCAAGAUUAAAACUCAAGAAAUUUGUGACGGGA